GGGGAAUUUACACAGUGGUAGUGUGCUCGCUUUGCAUACAAAUGCCUGCGAGAAGUCGAGGGUUCGAUCCCCUCAUUCUCCA